UACGGGGGGGGCAAGCGUUGUUCGGAAUUACUGGGCGUAAAGGGCUCGUAGGCGGCCAACUAAGUCGGAUGUGAAAUCCCCAGGCUCAACCUGGGAACUGCAUCCGAUACUGGAUGGCUUGAAUUCGGGGGAGGGAUGCAGAAUUCCAGGUGUAGCGGUGAAAUGCGUAGAUAUCUGGAGGAAUACCGGUGGCGAAGGCGGCAUCCUGGACCGACAUUGACGCUGAGGAGCGAAAGCCAGGGGAGCAAACGGG
rnacentral:rRNA from 1 species